GUGAGAUGUGAAAUACUCGGGCUUAACCUGAGUGCUGCAUUUCAAACUGGAAGUCUAGAGUGCAGGAGAGGAGAAGGGAAUUCCUAGUGUAGCGGUGAAAUGCGUAGAGAUUAGGAGGAACACCAGUGGCGAAGGCGGCCUGCUGGACAUUAACUGACGCUGAGGAGCGAAAGCGUGGGGAGCAAACAGGAUUAGAUACCCUGGUAGUCCACGCCGUAAACGAUGGAUACUAGGUGUGGGAGGUAUUGACCCCUUCCGUGCCGCAGUUAACACAAUAAGUAUCCCACCUGGGGAGUACGACCGCAAGGUUGAAACUCAAAGGAAUUGACGGGGGCCCGCACAAGCAGUGGAGUAUGUGGUUUAAUUCGAUGCAACGCGAAGAACCUUACCUGGUCUUGACAUCCCGGUGACCGGCAUAGAGAUAUGCCUUUCCCUUCGGGGACAGCGGUGACAGGUGGUGCAUGGUUGUCGUCAGCUCGUGUCGUGAGAUGUUGGGUUAAGUCCCGCAACGAGCGCAACCCUUAUUGUUAGUUGAUACAUUUAGUUGAUCACUUUAGCGAGACUGCCGUUGACAAAACGGAGGAAGGUGGGGACGACGUCAAAUCAUCAUGCCCCUUAUGACCAGGGCUACACACGUACUACAAUGGCAGACAUACAGAGGGAAGCAAAGCUGUGAGGCAGAGCAAAUCCCUAAAAGCUGUCCCAGUUCAGAUUGCAGGCUGCAACCCGCCUGCAUGAAGUCGGAAUU
rnacentral:rRNA from 1 species